AGGAAGGAGACCUGCGCGCCGUCGGAGCCAGUGUCGCCCAGUCGCCGCCGUUCAUCCCUUGCCAUCGCCGUUCAAGCCACUGCCAAGUCACCGUCGAUGAAGCUUCAGCCACUGCCACGCCUGGUUGUCGCCAGGGUUGCCACCGCCGCGUCUCACCACUAAAGAGAAGCCUUGCCUACGCUGUUGCCGAACCGGGCCAGAUUCACCAAUUAAUGCUACCGCCGCCACUGGCUUGCCAUUUCUGCUCGGCUAUGCCCUUAUUCGCUGUUCUAAUUGUUGAAAGGAAAUGUUGUUGAAGUUAUAGUUUCUCUGUUCCCCAUUCUCUUGUUUCUUUUCUAGUAAGACAAAUUUUGUUGUACUUUAUCUUGCCAUAAUGCUCCAUUUCGAUUCUAUUUUAUUAGUGCGUAAUGUUCCUCUUUGCCUU